UGAAAAUACCAGAAAGCAAGUUAACAGCACAUCUCUUCUGAGGAAACAUAACCGAUUGGACCAGCGGUUUGUUUACAGCUCUCUCAUGUACACACAUGAAUACACACAGGCGCAAACACACCCACACGCUUCCACACACACUCUUGAGAAACAAUCUACAUUCACAUCUAGAACACAAUGUCAUUCAAAUAACCAACGGGUCAACAGGUCUAAUAACCAACAGGUCAGCAGGUCUAACAACCAACAGGUCUAAUAACCAACAGGUCUAAUAUAACCAACAGGUCUAAUAACCAACAGGUCUAAUAUAACCAAAAGGUCUAAUAACAAACAGGUCAGCAGGUCUAACAACCAACAGGUUUAAUAACCAACAGGUCUAAUAUAACCAACAGGUCUAAUAACCAACAGGUCAACAGGUCUAAUAACCAACAGGUCAACAGAUCUAAUAACCAACAGGUCUAAUAACCAACAGGUCAACAAGUCUAAUAACCAACAGGUCAACAGGUCGAAUAACCAACAGGUCAACAGGUCUAAUAACCAACAGGUCAACAGGUCUAAUAACCAACAGGUCGAAUAACCAACAGGUCGAAUAACCAACAGGUCAAAAAACCAACAGGUCAACAGGUCUAAUAACCAUCAGGUCAACAGAUCUAAUAACGAACAGGUCAACAGGUCUAAUAACCAACAGGUCAACAGGUCUAAUAACCAACAGGUCAACAGGUCUAAUAACCAACAGGUCAACAGGUCUAAUAACCAGCAGGUCAACAGGUCUAAUAAC
ensembl:lncRNA